rnacentral:lncRNA from 1 species
AGAUGGAGCUUGGGAUCCUGAGGGAGAAGGGAUGAGAGGGGGAUCCCGAGCCCUGGCCGCAGUGAGAGAGGCCACUCAGCGAAUCCAGGCUGUUCUAGCAGGUGAGUGAGGGAACAGAGGUGUCAGGGAGGGUUGAGGAGCAGAGAGGUCCAGGGGAGGAAGAUCAGCCCAGAAAGAGAACUGGAAUUCCAAGAUAUGGGAGAAACUGACUUCUUAUCAAGUCCCUCCAGUGCAAGGACCCCUGCUUCUGAGUCGAGACCCUGCACAGUAUUGCCACGCUGUCUGGGGAGACCCAGAUAGCCCAAACUACCACAGGUGCAGCCUCUUGAACCCAGGAUACAAAGGAGAGAGUUGCCUGGGGGCAAAGAUUCCUGACACCCAUCUUCGCGGUUAUGCCUUGUGGCCGGAGCAGGGUCCCCCACAACUGGUCCAGCCAGAUGGGCCUGGGGUCCAAAACACUGAUUUUCUCCUGUAUGUGCGAGUUGCUCACACUUCCAAGUGCCACCAAGAGGUGAAGUUCAAAUCAAAUUUCCUUUCCCUGCUGUCUCUCUCAAUCUUAAAUCUCAUGAGGAGGGUUAGGGAGCAUAAAAGCAGUUUUGUUUUGUUUUGUUU